AUUAAAAACCAAUGCCUUCGGGGCUCUCUGGUGAUUCAUAAUAACUUCUCGAAUCGCACGGCCUUGCGCCGGCGAUGGUUCAUUCAAAUUUCUGCCCUAUCAACUUUCGACGGCUGGGUCUUGGCCAGCCGUGGUGACAACGGGUAACGGAGGGUUAGGGCUCGACCCCGGAGAAGGAGCCUGAGAAACGGCUACUACAUCCAAGGAAGGCAGCAGGCGCGCAAAUUACCCAAUCCCGACACGGGGAGGUAGUGACAAUAAAUACUGAUACAGGGCUCUUUCGGGUCUUGUAAUUGGAAUGAGUACAAUUUAAAUCCCUUAACGAGGAACAAUUGGAGGGCAAGUCUGGUGCCAGCAGCCGCGGUAAUUCCAGCUCCAAUAGCGUAUAUUAAAGUUGUUGAGGUUAAAAAGCUCGUAGUUGAACCUUGGGCCUAGCCGGCCGGUCCGCCUCACCGCGUGCACUGGCUCGGCUGGGUCUUUCCUUCUGGAGAACCGCAUGCCCUUCACUGGGUGUGCC
rnacentral:rRNA from 1 species